rnacentral:rRNA from 1 species
UACGGAGGGUGCGGGCGUUGUCCGGAAUCACUGGGCGUAAAGGGCGCGUAGGCGGCCCGGCAAGUCAGUGGUGAAAGCCCGAGGCUCAACUUCGGGUCGGCCACUGAUACUGCUAGGCUUGAGUCGACUAGAGGCAGAUGGAAUUCCGGGUGUAGCGGUGGAAUGCGUAGAGAUCCGGAAGAACACCGGUGGCGAAGGCGGCAUCCUGGACCAAUACUGACACUGAGGAGCGAAAGCCAGGGGAGCAAACGGG